UAGGGAAUAUUGGUCAAUGGGCGCAAGCCUGAACCAGCCAUCCCGCGUGCAGGAAGACGGCCCUAUGGGUUGUAAACUGCUUUUCCAGGGGGAGAAUUUUUCUGUCGUGACAGGAAUUGACGGUACCCUGGGAAUAAGCAUCGGCUAACUCCGUGCCAGCAGCCGCGGUAAUACGGAGGAUGCGAGCGUUAUCCGGAUUUAUUGGGUUUAAAGGGUGCGUAGGCGGAUAGAUAAGUCAGUGGUGAAAACCUGCAGCUUAACUGUAGACUUGCCGUUGAUACUGUCAGUCUUGAGUACGGUCAAGGUAGGCGGAAUGUGUAAUGUAGCGGUGAAAUGCUUAGAUAUUACACAGAACACCGAUUGCGAAGGCAGCUUACUGGGCCGUAACUGACGCUGAUGCACGAAAACGUGGGGAGCGAACA
rnacentral:rRNA from 1 species